AACGAACGCUGGCGGCAUGCCUAACACAUGCAAGUCGAACGAGACCUUCGGGUCUAGUGGCGCACGGGUGCGUAACGCGUGGGAAUCUGCCCUUGGGUUCGGAAUAACAGUUAGAAAUGACUGCUAAUACCGGAUAAUGUCUUCGGACCAAAGAUUUAUCGCCCAGGGAUGAGCCCGCGUAGGAUUAGCUAGUUGGUGAGGUAAAGGCUCACCAAGGCGACGAUCCUUAGCUGGUCUGAGAGGAUGAUCAGCCACACUGGGACUGAGACACGGCCCAGACUCCUACGGGAGGCAGCAGUGGGGAAUAUUGGACAAUGGGCGAAAGCCUGAUCCAGCAAUGCCGCGUGAGUGAUGAAGGCCUUAGGGUUGUAAAGCUCUUUUACCCGGGAUGAUAAUGACAGUACCUGGAGAAUAAGCCCCGGCUAACUUCGUGCCAGCAG
rnacentral:rRNA from 1 species